rnacentral:rRNA from 1 species
AGAAUGUCUACAUUUUAAGAUUAGAUCUCAAAUCAGGUAGGACUACCCGCUGAACUUAAGCAUAUCAAUAAGCGGAGGAANAGAAACUAACAAGGAUUCCCCUAGUAGCGGCGAGCGAAGCGGGAAGAGCUCAANUUUAUAAUCUGGCACCUUCGGUGUCCGAGUUGUAAUCUCUAGAAAUGUUUUCCGCGCUGGACCGCACACAAGUCUGUUGGAAUACAGCGGCAUAGUGGUGAGACCCCCGUAUAUGGUGCGGACGCCCAGCGCUUUGUGAUACAUUUUCGAAGAGUCGAGUUGUUUGGGAAUGCAGCUCAAAUUGGGUGGUAAAUUCCAUCUAAAGCUAAAUAUUGGCGAGAGACCGAUAGCGAACAAGUACCGUGAGGGAAAGAUGAAAAGCACUUUGGAAAGAGAGUUAACAGUACGUGAAAUUGUUGGAAGGGAAACGCUUGAAGUCAGACUUGCUUGCCGAGCAAUCGGUUUGCAGGCCAGCAUCAGUUUUCCGGGAUGGAUAAUGGUAGAGAGAAGGUAGCAGUUUCGGCUGUGUUAUAGCUCUCUGCUGGAUACAUCUUGGGGGACUGAGGAACGCAGUGUGCCUUUGGCGGGGGUUUCGACCUCUCACACUUUAGGAUG